UUUCUAAAUUCAGCCUAAAUAACUGGCAGUGCUCCAUUGGCAACAACCGUUACUGUAUUAAAAUCACUCUUUAUAUUGACUUUCUUUUUUCCACUGAAAUUCUUGAGUGUUAACCCUUUUCGACAGUUUCUUGGUUUAUCCCUCUGGUGAUUCAAACAUGGAUACUGAAUCGGUGAUUGAGUUCUUGGGUGACGUGCCAUUGUUGCAGAGGCUGCCUAGUUCUUCCCUCAGAAAAAUUGCCCAACUCGUCAAGGUUAAACAUUAUGAUCGUGGAGAUUAUGUAAUCCGCGAAGGGGAAGCUGGGGAUGGAGUUUACUUCAUAUGGGAUGGAGAGGCUGAAGUCCGGGGUUUCAGCCAGGCUGAUGAUGAAAAUCGUCCUGAAUUCCAGCUGAAAAAACUUGAUUAUUUUGGUCAUGGUUUAGCGACAUCUAGACAGCAAGCCGAGGUGAUCGCAUUGUCUAAGCUGACAUGCUUUGUGCUGCCUCAUGAGCAUAAUAAUCUGCUCCAGCCCAAAUCAAUCUGGAACGCAGACAAAGAAAGAGAUAAGUGCCCACUUGUGGAGCGCAUAUUGCACUUGGAUUCUAUAGAAGUGAACAUUUUCCAAGGUAUAACAUUGCCAGAUGCCCCCAAAUUUGGGAAAGUGUUUGGAGGCCAGUUUCUUGGGCAGGCAUUGGCUGCAGCAUCAAAAACUGUUGAUUUUCUCAAGAUUGUUCAUAGUUUGCAUGCCUAUUUCCUUCUCGUUGGGGAUCUUGACAUUCCAAUCAUAUAUCAAGUUUACCGUGUACGUGAUGGAAAGAGCUUUGCUACACGGAGGGUGGAUGCGAUUCAGAAAGGGAAUGUCGUAUUCACAUUGCUAGCUUCAUUUCAGAAAGAUGAAGAUGGAUUUGAUCACCAGCAAGCACAAAUGCCUGAUGUGCCUGAUCCAGAAACGCUUUUAUCAAUGGAAGAUUUGAGAGAAAUGCGCAAGACUGAUCCUCGGCUUCCCAGGACAUACCGUAAUAAGGUUGCUACUGCAAAUUUUGUACCCUGGCCAAUAGAAAUAAGGUUUUGUGAACCUAGUAAUGCCACUAAUCAGACCAAGUCUCCUCCAAGUUUGAGAUAUUGGUUCAGAGCAAAAGGAAAACUUUCAGAUGACCAAGCUUUACAUAGAUGUGUUGCAGCAUUUGCAUCAGAUCUAAUCUUUCUUACUGUCAGUCUGAAUCCUCAUCGGAAGAAGGAUUUCAAGACAAGUUCUGUUAGUCUGGAUCAUUCCUGCCCCCACCUGACACACCCAUGGCUGAUCCCUGCCUUCGGUUGGGAAAAGAAAUAGAAAGGUAGAAAGACAACAUAAGGUGGCAGUGGAGGGAGAUGGCAGAGUGAUGUUGGUAAUGGAGGUCCAAAACUAGCUUUACUUUUACCGGUGGGAAGAGUUGCUGGAGUGACAUUGAAGUGGUGAUGAGUCAUCCGCAAUGGGGUUAACCUUUCCCAGAUGGUGUCAGUUGGACUCUUUUUUGCUAAUUACAGCUGCCAGCGGAUAGUCUUUAUGAGGAAAAAUUAAUGCAUCCAAAGUAGUGAUUUCUGUGAUCGACAUGAAAGAUCUGCAAAUCAGAUCUUUCAGAUUCUGAAAUGAGUUUGAUGGAAUUUCCCAUGACCUGCUACUCAAAAACCAAUUGUUGAAAAGUGGGGCUUCCGUAUUGUUUACGUGGAGUUUGAAGUUCAAUAGAGUUCAGGGUUGAUAUUCUUACUUGAGUUGAUGUGGUUCCACAGACCUUUUAGAGCUGAUGAUUGGAUAUUGUUUGUGAUCACCAGUCCUGCUGCUUAUAAUGCACGUGGCUUUGUGUCGGGCGAAUUGUUUAAUAGGAAGGGAGAGCUUGUAGUGUCAUUGACUCAAGAGGGCUUAUUGAGACCGUUCAGAAAACCACUUUCUGUCCGACCAAAGCUCUAAUUCAUGCCAAGUUGAAUGAGAAAAGAGGAUUAGUUACUACAGGUUGAUUAACAGUUUAGCUGCAGAACUGCUCAAAUAAGUCCGACAGAGGUUGCGAGUGAAGACAGCUACUUAAGUUGUGGACGAGUCCAGAAAAUGAGACAUGACUGUAUCUACAUGUUAUUAUACAAAAUGGUCCGCCAUUGUUUCUAUACCUCUCACCUCACCUUUAUAUAUUACUGAGCCGCCAAAAGAGGCAUUGAAAUUAUUAUAUUGAUCAACCUACGAUUGUUAAAAUUAUUGUUUUUACAAGUUCCACCAAAGAAACUCUCGAUGUAUCUCAGGGUAUAUACUGUUCUACAUUCACCAUUAGAAAUAAAAGGUUUGCAAAUAAUGCUUUGGUUUCAAAGAGGUUA